AACGAACGCUGGCGGCAUGCCUAACACAUGCAAGUCGAACGAGACCUUCGGGUCUAGUGGCGCACGGGUGCGUAACGCGUGGGAACCUGCCCUUAGGUUCGGAAUAACUCCCCGAAAGGGGUGCUAAUACCGGAUAAUGUCUUCGGACCAAAGAUUUAUCGCCUUUGGAUGGGCCCGCGUUGGUUUAGCUAGUUGGUAGGGUAAAAGCCUACCAAGGCGACGAUCCAUAGCUGGUCUGAGAGGAUGAUCAGCCACACUGGGACUGAGACACGGCCCAGACUCCUACGGAAGGCAGCAGUGGGGAAUAUUGGACAAUGGGCGAAAGCCUGAUCCAGCAAUGCCGCGUAAGUGAUGAAGGCCUUAGGGUUGUAAAGCUCUUUUACCCGGGAUGAUAAUGACAGUACCGGGAGAAUAAGCUCCGGCUAACUCCGUG
rnacentral:rRNA from 1 species